AGGAAAAUUGUGUUGAAAACCAGUUUAAAGAUGUCCUCUUAAUUUGUUUGCAUCUCAAUACUAUUGGAGAACUAGAGAGUACACGAUGUCUUUCGAGAAUAGUUUGUGUGGGUAAAAAGUUAUUAGUUGCACAGAAUAACGAGCAAACCAAUCCUGCCUGCACUAACUGAAAAGUUUCACGACCUGGUUGCAGCGGCAAACCCAUGUGUGCGGAUUUACCUUUCCAUGCGAAGCGAUGUGGAACUAGAAUAACCGUAACCAGCAGACUUCUCUUGAAAUCAAAGUUCUGAUGAGGAUCAAAUACACAAAACGGCGGAUUUACCUUUCCAUGCGAAGCGAUGUGGAACUAGAAUAACCGUAACCAGCAGACUUCUUUUGAAAUCAAAGUUCUGAUGAG